UGUAUCUUUCAUAUUCAGAAUUCCUAUUAGGAAACUCGGGCACUCAGAAGAAGAGGCAAGAAAGAACAAAGAGGAUCAACCUGCACAAAACCUUCAAAGCCUUCGACAUUACCUGAAGGCCUGUGGAACGAACGCUGCUUUGGGGAAAAUUCAAUCCAAUUCAGCAUUCUGACAAGGUAGAAAAGAAUGAAGGGAGACAUGACCUGCCUUCCAGGAGUCUCAUGAGAAAGAUGGCACAGAUGCAGAUAAAAACAAGAUGAAUACACACACAGACAAAGUUACACACUGAGCACACAGGAGCUUGGACUCUUCUGGAUGUUCCCCAAGUCAAAAGCCAAGUUUGAGUCCUGUUUCCCUCAGAGGUGGCCUCUAGCUCUGACAGCUUAAAGACAUUCUGAUUUCUCCACAGCCUAGAUUUUCAAGUCAAGGAACAGGUGGGCAAGCAUUUUCCAGAGUCUUCAUAUCAGAACCCUCCUUCCUUCCCAGUGCAACUGUGUGCAUAUUGAUAUAGUUAAGGACUUGUGUUCAUGUUAGAGUCUCAGCAAAUGUUUGGUGAUGACCCUGACCUUCAAGACUCUGCCACCCUGAGCCUUCAGAGCCUUGCCCCAGAAGGACCAGAACUUUAAAAAAGCUUCCAGACUGGAGUUUAUUCUGCUUUGCCACCCCCACUUACUGAAGGCUUUGCUAUGGGAAUACUCACAAAGGGUAACAUAAACACAUUCAUGUUUGAGUUGCCAUCUGAAACCAGAAUUAAAUACACUUGGAGCAUUCCUUGUGCUGACCAGGCAAUUGCGGUGUUUUCUCAGGAGAAAAGAAGACGGCCCUCUUCUCUUGGUGAUAUGAGAAACAGGCAGGCGUGUGGCCGGCUCCAAAGCUUCUGUUUAGCAAAGGCAUGAGGCAGGAAUCCACCAAGAAAGAAACCUGGGAGACCUGGCUGAAAUGUUCGCAAGCACGCAGCUUUCUCACACUUUGCAUGUUAUCCUGCAGUGGAGCUCAUGGUGAUAAUGACUAAACCCCAACAUCCAAGCCACCCCCUGGCUUCCCACUGGAGACUGAAUGAAGAGAGCAAAGACCAGAAUGGGGAAAACUUGGAAAAUGAUGAAAAUCUAGUAUCCAUGGGUCCUAUCAAAGCCCUUAUGGGAGUGAUCCAAGCAAAUUAUUCCAUACCCAUUCUUAGUACUUUUUACCUUAUUCAUUUCUUAUGUUGGACUUGGGGAAAAGAUGAGUUACUUAAUGAAUAAGAGCAUAAAUGGCACAAAGUUCGAAAGUUAUAAAAGAGAGUGAAAAGUCCUCCCUACUUUUAUCUUCCACCAUUCAACUACUAUUGAAGUUUCCAAAGCUGCUCUAUGCAUAUACAAGUACAUAGGUACAUGUAUUUUUAUGGAAAAGUUAUAUAUCGCAUACAUAGAAAAAUAGAAAGAAAUGAAUUUUCACUUUAUUCCAUGUAUGUUGUUUGCUGGGACCCAAUGCCAGAGUGCUUUUGUCAUUUUAGCUUUAUAAUAUGUCUUCAUCAGAGCAUUCAUGCUUUUCACUACUAUUCUGAUUCAGGAUUUUUCCAGGCUCUUCUUGUUGUUUAUGUUUCCAUAUAAACUUUAGCUUCUCUAAAUAUGUGGUCCUUUCUUCCACUGUAUCUUGGCACCAAUUUUUGUUGUUUAUGUGUAUAAAGACUAUUGAUUUUUGUAGCAAGCCACCCUUCCCAAUUCUUUUAUUGUUAAUUUGUUGCUGUGAUCUUUCAGUUAAUUUCCUUGUUUUCUAGGCACUGAGUCAUAUUUUUUCCAAAUACAACUAUUUUACCUCCUACUUUCCCAUCUAUACAUUUCAUAUUUCUUUCUCCUUUCUAUAAAGAUGUCUAAGUACCUCAAAAUUAAUAUUCCAUAAUGUGAUGACAGUAACAUCCUUGUCCUGAUUGAAUGGGAAUGCUUCUCUUCUUUACCCAUUAGGCAUGAGCUGACUUUUGAAGUAAGAUAAAUCCAUUCUUUGAAGGCAAUAUGAAUUUAGUUCUGUUUUAUGAAGUGUUUUUUUAUAAUCAAUCAUUGAUUUUACUUUUAUAACAAACAUUUUCAGGAACCACGGACGUGAGCACCUGUGUUGUAAUAGAUUAGUAUGGUGAAUUACAUUAAUAGGUUUCCUAAUGUUAAGCUAUCCUUUUCUUCCUAAAAUAAACCUUACUUGGUCAUAUUUUAUUUUUCUUUUACUGACACACUGGAUUCUGUGUGCUAAUAUUUUAUUAAAGACUUUUGCAUUGAUAGUUACAAGAGACACGGGGGCUGUGGGUUUUCUUUCGUUUUAUUGUGAUGCUCCAUGGCAGACUUUGGCACCAAUGUAAACUUUACUUCAUAAAAAGAAAUCAGAGGUUUUUCUUCUUUUUCUAGAAAUGUUUAGAAAGCAAUGGAGUUAUUGAUUGUUUAAGGUUAAAAAGAGUUCACCUGUGAAAACACUGGCACCUGGUAGCUGGGGAGGGGGCAGCCUUUGGAAAACUUUCCUAUUUUUCCAAACAUAACUCAUCUCUUCAGAUUUUCAAACUCUUCUGGGGCCAGCCUUAGAAAUACAUUCUAAGGCUGCAGUUCUGAACUUCAUAUUCUAGAAAUCACUUAUUUUAUCCAGGUACUUGAAUUUAUUUGUGUAUUGUUAAGCAAAUGUCUCCUAUAACCUCUGCUAAUUUAUCUGUGAUUAUUUCUCUACUCUUGUUUUCUUUUUUCACCUAUUUCUGCUUUCUCAUUUUCAAAAAUAAAUGUUGCACCAUUUUCCUCAAUAGCCAGAAGGCGGAAGCUAACCAAGUGUCCACCAAGAGACGAAUGAAUAAAUAAAAUAUGAUAUGUACAUACAGGGAGUAUUAUUCAGGCAUAAAAAGGAAAGAAGUUCAGACACAUGCUACAUUAUGGAUGAAAUUUGAAAACAUUAUGCUAAGUGAAAUAAACCAGACAAAAAUGGACAAAUAUUGUAUGAUUCCGCUUAUGUGAAACAUCUAGAAUAAGUCAAAUGACAAACAAAAAGUAAAUUUGAGGUUACCAUGGGGCUGGAGAGAGGACGGGGAGUUACUGCAUAAUAAGCACAGAGUUUCUGUUUAGGGUGAUGAAAAAUAAAAUUGUGAUGAUUGUACAA